rnacentral:misc_RNA from 1 species
GUAGACCAGGUAAAGAAGCUC